rnacentral:misc_RNA from 1 species
UGGGAGCCGAAAGUGUCUCUCUAGUAAGAAGUUUUGGUCCGGUGGUGUGAGAUCAUCUGAAAACGGUGCGCGAGGAAUACGAGGCCUGAUAGCGUACUUAAUCUGCGAGAACUUGCCGGUCUCGCCUACAUCGUCCGGAUUUAGUAUGAAUAUGCAAAAGAGACAGAGAGCAAUCUCGUCGGUUCGCUUGUCGUCUUAAUGUUUCCGCUUGGAAAACGUCGGCUAACAGGCAUCGAGAAUCAACGGUCGAACAAGCGCG